rnacentral:snRNA from 1 species
AAAAAUAUGGAAAGCUUCACGAUUUUGCGCGUCACCCUUGGGCAGAGGCCAUGGUAAUCUCCUCUCUAUCGUUCCAAUUUUUGCAUAUGUACUGCCAAAGCAAGAAC